GACGUAGGGGGCGAGCGUUGUCCGGAUUUAUUGGGCGUAAAGAGCUCGUAGGCGGCUCGGUAAGUCGGGUGUGAAACCUCCAGGCUCAACCUGGAGACGCCACCUGAUACUGCUGUGGCUAGAGUCCGGUAGGGGAGUGUGGAACUCCUGGUGUAGCGGUGAAAUGCGCAGAUAUCAGGAAGAACACCAGCGGCGAAGGCGGCACUCUGGGCCGGAACUGACGCUGAGGAGCGAAAGCGUGGGUAGCAAACAGG
rnacentral:rRNA from 1 species